CCGAGCUCUCAUUCCACAGCUGUUUCGCGCUUUCUCCUCUCAUUAAACUCACUCUCCCCGUCGCUGUCUCUGUCCGGGAAGGUUGCUUUCAGCAAAACCGCCUGUUGGGAUUCAUUUCAGUGGUGAGCUACAAACAGACACGCUUUCCUGCUGUUUUCUGUCUAUCCCGGACGUCUGCAGUAUAUUCGUGUGUUUGCGAGCCUGCUGUGUGUUUAUUCUAUUAUAACGGAAUACACUCGAAUCUUCUCCCUGUGAAGAAAGAGGCGACGGACCGCCUGAACUCAACUAGCCGCUAAAGUCUCAUCUCGGUGGGGGUCUUGUUUUGUGUUUAACGGAGGACCCUGGUUCUGAGAACCCCCACAAAAUGGAGAAGUUGGAGAAGGGAAUCAAGCCAGUGGAAGAGUGUGAAUCUCCCGAGGACGAUGUGGUUGACCCCCGGAUCCAGGGGGAGUUGGACAAGUUGAACCAGUCUACAGAGGACAUCAACCGCUGGGAGACAGAGCUGGAGGACUGUCGUCAGAGGUUCCGCGCGGUGCUGGUGGAAGCCACGGUGAAGCUGGAUGAGCAGGUGAAGAGGAUCGGCAGAGCUGUAGAAGACUCCAAACCUUACUGGGAGGCCAGGAGAGUGGCCAGACAGGCCCAGCUAGAGGCCCAGAGGGCGACAGGUGAGUUCCAGCGUGCGGUGGAGAUCCUGGGGGCGGCUAAAGAGACCAUUGCCCUGGCAGAGGAGAGACUCCUGGAGGAGGACAGCAGACAGUUUGACUCAGCCUGGCAGGAGAUGCUCAACCACGCCACCAACAGGGUGAUGGAGGCGGAGAUGACGAGGACUCGUAGCGAAUUAGAGCACAGAAAGACGGCGAACCACUACAACGCCUGCAUCAGUCAUAUGAGACAGCUCGAGAAGAAACUCAAACGCACCAUCAACAAGUCCAGGCCAUAUUUUGAACUGAAGGCGAAAUACUACCUAAAACUGGAGCAACUAAAACGUUGCGUAGACGAGCAUCAGGCGAAACUGACCGUCGCCAAGGCAGAAUACCGCACAGCGCUGCGUAACCUAGAGACCAUCUCAGAGGAGAUCCACGCCCGGCGACGCUCCAUCACCAUGGGAACCAGAGGGAGGGGCGUGGGGGCCGAGGGCGAGGGAGGCCAUGAGGACAUUACCAACUUCAAGAUGGAGUCAGACGGACUGUCCAUGGUGUCUGUGACGUUUGAUGAAGAAGGAGGAUCAGAGGAAGAGACAGAAUCACACUCCACUUCCGCUCCCCUCGACAUGACCUCCUCCUCCCAUCAUCCCUCCUCCUCCUUCUUCACCCCCUCUGCCUACCUCUCCUCUGCCCCCUCUCUCCUCUCCUCGUCCUGUCCCAGUACCAUGGAGGGACCCAGUCCUGGCGGCUGGCUAAGCCCAGAGUCGAGGUGUGGUUCAGGGCAUGACUGUACUCACCUCGGCCCCCGUUCCCAGUGCAGUGGGGCCUCCUCCCCAGACCCAGACUGCGACCAAGAGAGAGGGGACAGAGCAGAGGGAGCAGAGCAGAAGUCGGGUCUGGGUAAGCUGACCCUGACCAUAACACACCCACUGCAUCCCGGGAAGGAUGACCCCAAAGGUGACCCUAAGACGACCUCUAGCCCCACAACCCAUAGCCCCGCUCCCAUCAUCCUCCUGACCAACAGCGAAUAACGGACAGAAGACUUCACCUCUCACAUCGUAUCAUUGACUCAUGACCUUUAAACCUGAACUCUGAACUAUGAGGCUUUCUAUGGACUUAAGUGUUUAUGUUCACCCCAGAGGGAAAUCUGAAAUCAGCCCCUAUUCCAUACAUAGGAAAUAAGGAAUAGUGGAAAUCAGUGGAGGCUGAUGGGAGGAGCUAUAGGAGGAUGUGGUUCUCAUGUUUGAUACCGUUCCAUUUCAUUCCAGCCAUUACAAUGAGCCCAUCCUCCUAUAGCUCCUCCCAUCAGCCACCACUGGUGGAAAUAGGGUGCCAUUUUGGAUCUUGUCCAGAACUGAUGGGGAGGAAUCUGGAAGGGGAAGUCAACAUGAUGGAUACCUGGGGAUUGUGGGGGAGCAUAGCCAGCCCAGUCGAUGGUCAACUCCUUAAAAGAUUUGAAGGAAGGGUGUGAAAGAGGCUAUGGCUGCAUCCUGUCACAAAGGGUGCACUUCCACACAUCCUGUCAUGGACCUAAAAACAAUGGAAGGGAGUUUCCACUAUUGUUAAUUGUUGGAAUAACCCUGGAGAGAGAUGUUGACUGUUGACUUGUGGUCUCAGUGGGGAUGUGAGGCAGAGGUUAAUGUGGUCUCAGAGAGGAUGUGAGACAGAGGUUAAUGUGGUCUCAGAGGGGAUGUGAGACAGAGGUUAAUGUGGUCUCAGAGAGGAUGUGAGACAGAGGUUAAUGUGGUCUCAGAGGGGAUGUGAGGCAGAGGUUAAUGUGGUCUCAGUGAGGAUGUGAGACAGAGGUUAAUGUGGUCUCAGUGAGGAUGUGAGACAGAGGUUAAUGUGGUCCCAGUGAGGAUGUGAGGCAGAGGUUAAUGUGGUCUCAGUGAGGAUGUGAGACAGAGGUUAAUGUGGUCCCAGUGAGGAUGUGAGGCAGAGGUUAAUGUGGUCUCAGAGAGGAUGUGAGACAGAGGUUAAUGUGGUCUCAGUGAGGAUGUGAGACAGAGGUUAAUGUGGUCCCAGUGAGGAUGUGAGGCAGAGGUUAAUGUGGUCUCAGUGAGGAUUCCCCAGAGGGGAUGUGAGACAGAGGUUAAUGUGGUCUCAGUGAGGAUGUGAGACAGAGGUUAAUGUGGUCUCAGUGGGGAUGUGAGACAGAGGUUAAUGUGGUCUCAGUGAGGAUGUGAGACAGAGGUUAAUGUGGUCUCAGUGAGGAUGUGAGACAGAGGUUAAUGUGGUCCCAGUGAGGAUGUGAGGCAGAGGUUAAUGUGGUCUCAGUGAGGAUGUGAGACAGAGGUUAAUGUGGUCUCAGUGAGGAUGUGAAACAGAGGUUAAUGUGGUCUCAGUGGGGAUGUGAGACAGAGGUUAAUGUGGUCUCAGUGAGAAUGUGAGACAGA